rnacentral:rRNA from 1 species
GAUGUUAGCGGCGGACGGGUGAGUAACACGUGGGUAACCUGCCUGUAAGACUGGGAUAACUCCGGGAAACCGGGGCUAAUACCGGAUGGUUGUUUGAACCGCAUGGUUCAAACAUAAAAGGUGGCUUCGGCUACCACUUACAGAUGGACCCGCGGCGCAUUAGCUAGUUGGUGAGGUAACGGCUCACCAAGGCAACGAUGCGUAGCCGACCUGAGAGGGUGAUCGGCCACACUGGGACUGAGACACGGCCCAGACUCCUACGGGAGGCAGCAGUAGGGAAUCUUCCGCAAUGGACGAAAGUCUGACGGAGCAACGCCGCGUGAGUGAUGAAGGUUUUCGGAUCGUAAAGCUCUGUUGUUAGGGAAGAACAAGUACCGUUCGAAUAGGGCGGUACCUUGACGGUACCUAACCAGAAAGCCACGGCUAACUACGUGCCAGCAGCCGCGGUAAUACGUAGGUGGCAAGCGUUGUCCGGAAUUAUUGGGCGUAAAGGGCUCGCAGGCGGUUUCUUAAGUCUGAUGUGAAAGCCCCCGGCUCAACCGGGGAGGGUCAUUGGAAACUGGGGAACUUGAGUGCAGAAGAGGAGAGUGGAAUUCCACGUGUAGCGGUGAAAUGCGUAGAGAUGUGGAGGAACACCAGUGGCGAAGGCGACUCUCUGGUCUGUAACUGACGCUGAGGAGCGAAAGCGUGGGGAGCGAACAGGAUUAGAUACCCUGGUAGUCCACGCCGUAACGAUGAGUGCUAAGUGU